rnacentral:snRNA from 1 species
AGGUGUCAGAACAAUAUAGCUGUGACAUCUGUCACCCCAUUGAUUGCUAGGUUGAUUUGAUUGAUCUGACUGGCCAGACAACGGGUGUCCCCUUCCUCCCUCACCUCUCCAUGUGCAUCCCUCAGGCUGCGUGCUCAGUCAAAGAGGAUGGCCUUCUCCAAAUAGAAGAAGACCAGUCUUUGGUCAAGGGUAUUCAAGUAGCUGCACUCCCCUGCUAGAACCUCCAAACAGGCUCUCAAAUGGUUAAAGCAUUUUCUUAAGUAAAUAUAAAGUUAAGUUUUUGUACACUU